GUCCCUGUAGCGCAAAAGAUAGCGCUUUGGACUUUUAGUCCACCGGUCGUGGGCUCGAAUCCCACCUGGGAUG